rnacentral:pre_miRNA from 1 species
GUGACAGAAGAGAGUGAGCACACGGCCGGGCGUGACGGCACCGGUCAAGGAUGUGCCGUCGCGGCCGCGUGCUCACUGCUCUUUCUGUCAU